rnacentral:rRNA from 1 species
UACGAAGGGGGCUAGCGUUGCUCGGAAUUACUGGGCGUAAAGCGCACGUAGGCGGCUUUUUAAGUCGGGGGUGAAAGCCUGUGGCUCAACCACAGAAUUGCCUUCGAUACUGUAUGGCUUGAGACCGGAAGAGGUAAGUGGAACUGCGAGUGUAGAGGUGAAAUUCGUAGAUAUUCGCAAGAACACCAGUGGCGAAGGCGGCUUACUGGUCCGGUUCUGACGCUGAGGCGCGAAAGCGUGGGGAGCAAACAGGG